rnacentral:rRNA from 1 species
CGUGCAGGUGGUUUGGUAAGUUGGGUAUGAAAUCUCCUGGCUUAACUAGGAGAGGUUGCUCAAAACUCCCAGACUAGAGGACGAUAGAGGAAGGUGGAAUUCCCGGUGUAGUAGUGAAAUGCGUAGAUAUCGGGAGGAACACCAGUGGCGAAGGCGGCCUUCUGGGUCGUUCCUGACACUAAGACGCGAAAGCAUGGGUAGCAAACAGGAUUAGAUACCCUGGUAGUCC